rnacentral:rRNA from 1 species
CCUACGGGUGGCUGCAGUGGGGAAUAUUGGACAAUGGGGGCAACCCUGAUCCAGCCAUGCCGCGUGUGUGAAGAAGGCCCUCGGGUUGUAAAGCACUUUCAGUGAGGAAGAACGCCUGGUGGUUAAUACCCAUCAGGAAAGACAUCACUCACAGAAGAUGCACCGGCUAACUCCGUGCCAGCAGCCGCGGUAAUACGGAGGGUGCGAGCGUUAAUCGGAAUUACUGGGCGUAAAGCGCGCGUAGGUGGCUUGAUAAGCCGGUUGUGAAAGCCCCGGGCUCAACCUGGGAACGGCAUCCGGAACUGUCAAGCUAGAGUGCAGGAGAGGAAGGUAGAAUUCCCGGUGUAGCGGUGAAAUGCGUAGAGAUCGGGAGGAAUACCAGUGGCGAAGGCGGCCUUCUGGACUGACACUGACACUGAGGUGCGAAAGCGUGGGUAGCAAACAGGAUUAGAUACCCCUGUAGUC